UGGUAAAAACAACUGACGAGGAAACCAGGGAGCUCAUGCCUAAGCUCCGCCUUCUCUGCUAAAGCCACCUUUUUCUACCGUCAAUUGGAUGAUGAUCUGUCUGCUUAUCAUAACUCCAGUCUCUGAUAUACAGCAGCAUAUCAGAAGUCUGCUUAUUUUUCUUAUGUAUACUGAAGGAGUUUUUGUUUUUUUCCUUUCAAAGUCCAGUGAUCAGACUGCCACCAAAGAAUGUCUUACCAGCAAGCUAGCCAUCUCCCACUCAGUUUAGAUUUUUCUAAGCCUGGUAGACCUUUUUAUUUUCAUUAUCAGGAAGCUUUGUUGAGGUUGUACAUGUGCGCAUGUGAGAAGUGGAGAAUGUCUGAAAGAGGUGACCUUGGGCUUUUGAUAGUGGGCUAGUUUCAAGAGAGAAAAAGCUCCACACCUGUUUUUUUCACCUUAACCCUUUGCUGUCCUGUUUCACAUUUAUCAUUAAGGCGCCAUGUUACUGGAGAUCAAAGUGAAGUCCACGUGUUUACAUCGUCUUCUGGCAAGGGGUGUUCUCAGUGUGAGGUAGUAGGUUGUAUGGUUGAGAACUACAUCUUUGGGGAGAACUGUACAAUCUGCUAACUUUCCUUGGGUCGCUCCAUACAACAAGAAGCUCACGUGUUCAACCCGUUCUCCUUUUGAGUUAGCACUUGUUUUUCUUAUCUCUACACCCACGUGACGUCUUCUUUUCUUAUGUUCGCCUUUUCUUUAGGUUCAAAGCUGUUUUGUAAGUUGAGAAUGAACCGGUUUCUUUGUUAAGGAUUCUAUGAAAUAUUAAAACAAUACUUAAAAGUA